UGAGUAAUGUAUCGGAACGUGCCCAGUAGCGGGGGAUAACUGGCCGAAAGGUCAGCUAAUACCGCAUACGCCCUACGGGGGAAAGGGGGGGAUUCUUCGGAACCUCUCACUAUUGGAGCGGCCGAUAUCGGAUUAGCUAGUUGGUGGGGUAAUGGCUCACCAAGGCAACGAUCCGUAGCUGGUUUGAGAGGACGACCAGCCACACUGGGACUGAGACACGGCCCAGACUCCUACGGGAGGCAGCAGUGGGGAAUUUUGGACAAUGGGGGGAACCCUGAUCCAGCCAUCCCGCGUGUGCGAUGAAGGCCUUCGGGUUGUAAAGCACUUUUGUCAGGGAAGAAAAGGUUCUGGCUAAUAUCCGGAACUGAUGACGGUACCUGAAGAAUAAGCACCGGCUAACUACGUGCCAGCAGCCGCGGUAAUACGUAGGGUGCAAGCGUUAAUCGGAAUUACUGGGCGUAAAGCGUGCGCAGGCGGUUCGGAAAGAAGGAUGUGAA
rnacentral:rRNA from 1 species